CAGCUCUCUGGAGAAGGACUGGAGCGAGCUGGCCUUCCUGCUUCAACUCAGCCCCGACCUGGAAACACUCAAGCUGGACUGCCAGGGUCUGGACGCAGAGGGGCUACGCAGACUUCUGCCCAUGCUUCCUCUCUUCUGCACCCUGAGCCUUGGGCAGAAUCCCCUUGGCCCUGAGGGAGCCACUGUGCUGUCCAGGGCACUUAGGACUCCAACUUGCCGUGUCGAGAGGCUGUGUAAGGACUGGACUAGGCUGUGAGGGGGUCAGGAUCCUGACAGAAGCACUGAAAGACAACCAAACUGUUGUUGACCUCAGAAUGGCUAUCAAUGACAUUGGAGACACAGGAGCAGGAUAUCUUGCUGACUUACUGAAGACCAAUUGUGCUUUGAAAGAUAUCAGACUCCGUGACAACCAGAUAACAGACAAAGGGGCUGAACUUCUGAUGGAUGCUCUGACAGAGAAUGUAACUCUUCAGUAUCUAUGGCUCUUUGACAACAAGAUCACUAAGGAUGGUGUCAAGAGGCUCAAAGAAUUUUCUAAGACUAGAACCAAUCUUGACAUUAAAGUGUGUUUCUAAAUAUAGUACAUAAAGAUGGGAGAUUAUAAAGAUCUAUACAGAGAUACAAUGUAAUUCAUGAAACAAGUUUUAUAUUUACAUUUUAUUAAGGUCUAACCAUUCCGACUGACACUUUGAAUGAUUAUGUUGUAUUGAUGAAGGUUGGUUUUCAUCUCAGAGAAUACUGGCACGAGGGCUUUAUGAAAAGGGAAUCAUUCAAAAAAGAGACAUUGUCCUCUUUAGAUUUUAAAUAUUGCUGUAACUUUUCUAUGUUGUGUUAUAUUUGUUUUGUAUCUUUUAUGAUUGCAUAUGCUUCAUUUAAGUCUUUUAUAAAUUAGUUUUAUAAUUCCAUGAUUAAAGGCCUCAAUUGCCAUAAGCUCUGUGCCAUAAGUGAUGUGGGAUAAUAAGUCUGUUGAUUAAUUUACAGCGGUCAUUUUCGAAAGGUCAAGAUUUUUGCUCUCGUCACAUGUUCAAGUGGAAAGUGUUUUAUUUGUACUUGUUAGUUUGAGCUGAAAACAGUAGCCUAUUCUUCAUCAUUAUUUCCAUUGUGAUGAUAUCUGAAAAUCUUGGUUUUGUGAAUGAUAAGGUUAGUAGACUUCAAAAGUGCCUUAAAGUGAUGUGGUAAACGUUUAGCUCAGAAAGGUCUGUGCGUCAUGAAACGUGACUUCCAUGCAAUGUUUACCAUUGAGUCUGCACUCCUCAGGGAUAUGCAGUAAGCAGUAUUUUGUACAUUUAAAUGCUUACCAGUAGAAAGUGUUGGACGUGGACAUGUCCUCGAAAUUGCAUUUGUUACCUAAAUGUUUGGGGCUGUUUUUAAUGUAAUCAGGAAUUGAUUAAAUGAAAUAAAUUGAUGUGUUCCAAUAAUAAAAUACAGGAAACUAAGAGCAGAG
ensembl:lncRNA